GGGAGUGUAGCUCAGUGGAGAGUGCUUGCCUGGCGUGUACAGGCCCUGGGUUUGAUUCCCAGUAUCGCCA
rnacentral:tRNA from 2 species